UUGAAGUGUUAAUACUGUUCCCCUUCCAUCCUAUGCUCAGACUAUAUAUCUGUGCAAAUAAAAUUAUAUGUCUUACAGACACCAUUGACCUUCAUUUCAAGCAAACUGAACCCCAGAAAGUCUCAACGAAGCCUAUGGGAAGCAAAUAUAUGGAUAAUGAAAGUAAAUGGUGUGAAACCUAUUUCUGUACUAGAGGUCUGGAAACAGCACGUUCCAAUGCUUUAAAUGGUCCACAAGAGCAUUCAGAGCUUAAAGUUCCAAGAGCAUGAGAAGACUUAUGCAACAGCAUUAUUCAUACGUCAAUGGUCCUGUUAAUAAAAGAUCUAUUAAGUAUCA